rnacentral:rRNA from 1 species
UACGUAGGUGGCAAGCGUUAUCCGGAUUUAUUGGGCGUAAAGGGUGCGUAGGCGGUCCGUUAAGUCAGCGGUAAAAUUGCGGGGCUAAACCCCGUCGAGCCGUUGAAACUGGCAGUCUCGAGUUGGAGAGAAGUAUGCGGAAUGCGCGGUGUAGCGGUGAAAUGCAUAGAUAUCGCGCAGAACGCCGAUUGCGAAGGCAGCAUACCGGCGCCCAACUGACGCUGAGGCACGAAAGCGUGGGGAUCGAACAGG